rnacentral:rRNA from 1 species
UGUGAGCUCGAUGAGUAGGGCGGGACACGUGGUAUCCUGUCUGAAUAUGGGGGGACCAUCCUCCAAGGCUAAAUACUCCUGACUGACCGAUAGUGAACCAGUACCGUGAGGGAAAGGCGAAAAGAACCCCGGCGAGGGGAGUGAAAAAGAACCUGAAACCGUGUACGUACAAGCAGUGGGAGCACGCUUAGGCGUGUGACUGCGUACCUUUUGUAUAAUGGGUCAGCGACUUAUAUUCUGUAGCAAGGUUAACCGAAUAGGGGAGCCGAAGGGAAACCGAGUCUUAACUGGGCGUUAAGUUGCAGGGUAUAGACCCGAAACCCGGUGAUCUAGCCAUGGGCAGGUUGAAGGUUGGGUAACACUAACUGGAGGACCGAACCGACUAAUGUUGAAAAAUUAGCGGAUGACUUGUGGCUGGGGGUGAAAGGCCAAUCAAACCGGGAGAUAGCUGGUUCUCCCCGAAAGCUAUUUAGGUAGCGCCUCGUGAAUUCAUCUCCGGGGGUAGAGCACUGUUUCGGCAAGGGGGUCAUCCCGACUUACCAACCCGAUGCAAACUGCGAAUACCGGAGAAUGUUAUCACGGGAGACACACGGCGGGUGCUAACGUCCGUCGUGAAGAGGGAAACAACCCAGACCGCCAGCUAAGGUCCCAAAGUCAUGGUUAAGUGGGAAACGAUGUGGGAAGGCCCAGACAGCCAGGAUGUUGGCUUAGAAGCAGCCAUCAUUUAAAGAAAGCGUAAUAGCUCACUGGUCGAGUCGGCCUGCGCGGAAGAUGUAACGGGGCUAAACCAUGCACCGAAGCUGCGGCAGCGACGCUUAUGCGUUGUUGGGUAGGGGAGCGUUCUGUAAGCCUGUGAAGGUGUGCUGUGAGGCAUGCUGGAGGUAUCAGAAGUGCGAAUGCUGACAUAAGUAACGAUAAAGCGGGUGAAAAGCCCGCUCGCCGGAAGACCAAGGGUUCCUGUCCAACGUUAAUCGGGGCAGGGUGAGUCGACCCCUAAGGCGAGGCCGAAAGGCGUAGUCGAUGGGAAACAGGUUAAUAUUCCUGUACUUGGUGUUACUGCGAAGGGGGGACGGAGAAGGCUAUGUUGGCCGGGCGACGGUUGUCCCGGUUUAAGCGUGUAGGCUGGUUUUCCAGGCAAAUCCGGAAAAUCAAGGCUGAGGCGUGAUGACGAGGCACUACGGUGCUGAAGCAACAAAUGCCCUGCUUCCAGGAAAAGCCUCUAAGCAUCAGGUAACAUCAAAUCGUACCCCAAACCGACACAGGUGGUCAGGUAGAGAAUACCAAGGCGCUUGAGAGAACUCGGGUGAAGGAACUAGGCAAAAUGGUGCCGUAACUUCGGGAGAAGGCACGCUGAUACGUAGGUGAAGUCCCUCGCGGAUGGAGCUGAAAUCAGUCGAAGAUACCAGCUGGCUGCAACUGUUUAUUAAAAACACAGCACUGUGCAAACACGAAAGUGGACGUAUACGGUGUGACGCCUGCCCGGUGCCGGAAGGUUAAUUGAUGGGGUCAGCGCAAGCGAAGCUCUUGAUCGAAGCCCCGGUAAACGGCGGCCGUAACUAUAACGGUCCUAAGGUAGCGAAAUUCCUUGUCGGGUAAGUUCCGACCUGCACGAAUGGCGUAAUGAUGGCCAGGCUGUCUCCACCCGAGACUCAGUGAAAUUGAACUCGCUGUGAAGAUGCAGUGUACCCGCGGCAAGACGGAAAGACCCCGUGAACCUUUACUAUAGCUUGACACUGAACAUUGAGCCUUGAUGUGUAGGAUAGGUGGGAGGCUUUGAAGUGUGGACGCCAGUCUGCAUGGAGCCGACCUUGAAAUACCACCCUUUAAUGUUUGAUGUUCUAACGUUGACCCGUGAUCCGGGUUGCGGACAGUGUCUGGUGGGUAGUUUGACUGGGGCGGUCUCCUCCUAAAGAGUAACGGAGGAGCACGAAGGUUGGCUAAUCCUGGUCGGACAUCAGGAGGUUAGUGCAAUGGCAUAAGCCAGCUUGACUGCGAGCGUGACGGCGCGAGCAGGUGCGAAAGCAGGUCAUAGUGAUCCGGUGGUUCUGAAUGGAAGGGCCAUCGCUCAACGGAUAAAAGGUACUCCGGGGAUAACAGGCUGAUACCGCCCAAGAGUUCAUAUCGACGGCGGUGUUUGGCACCUCGAUGUCGGCUCAUCACAUCCUGGGGCUGAAGUAGGUCCCAAGGGUAUGGCUGUUCGCCAUUUAAAGUGGUACGCGAGCUGGGUUUAGAACGUCGUGAGACAGUUCGGUCCCUAUCUGCCGUGGGCGCUGGAGAACUGAGGGGGGCUGCUCCUAGUACGAGAGGACCGGAGUGGACGCAUCACUGGUGUUCGGGUUGUCAUGCCAAUGGCACUGCCCGGUAGCUAAAUGCGGAAGAGAUAAGUGCUGAAAGCAUCUAAGCACGAAACUUGCCCCGAGAUGAGUUCUCCCUGACUCCUUGAGAGUCCUGAAGGAACGUUGAAGACGACGACGUUGAUAGGCCGGGUGUGUAAGCGCAGCGAUGCGUUGAGCUAACCGGUACUAAUGAACCGUGAGGCUUAACCUUACAACGCCGAAGGUGUUU